rnacentral:rRNA from 1 species
GACGAACGCUGGCGGCGUGCUUAACACAUGCAAGUCGAACGGUAAGGCCCUUCGGGGUACACGAGUGGCGAACGGGUGAGUUACACGUGGGUGAUCUGCCCUGCACUUCGGGAUAAGCCUGGGAAACUGGGUCUAAUACCGGAUAGGACUCCUGGCUUCAUGGUUGGGGGUGGAAAGCUUUUGCGGUGUGGGAUGGGCCCGCGGCCUAGCAGCUUGUUGGUGGGGUAAUGGCCUACCAAGGCGACGACGGGUAGCCGGCCUGAGAGGGUGACCGGUCACACUGGGACGGAGAUACGGCCCAGAAUCCUACGGGAGGCAGCAGUGGGGAAUAUUGCACAAUGGGCGCAAGCCUGAUGCAGCGACGCCGCGUGAGGGAUGACGGCCUUCGGGUUGUAAACCUCUUUCAGCUAUGACGAAGCGCAAGUGACGGUAGUAGCAGAAGAAGGACCGGCCAACUACGUGCCAGCCGCCGCCGUAA